UUGAACGCUGGCGGCAGGCCUAACGCAUGCCAGUCGAGCGGAUGAAGGGAGCUUGCUCCUGGCUUCAGCGGCGGACGGGUGAGUAAUGCCUAGGAAUCUGCCUGGUAGUGGGGGAUAACGUCCGGAAACGGGCGCUAAUACCGCAUACGUCCUGAGGGAGAAAGUGGGGGAUCUUCGGACCUCACGCUAUCAGAUGAGCCUAGGUCGGAUUAGCUAGUUGGUGGGGUAAAGGCCUACCAAGGCGACGAUCCGUAACUGGUCUGAGAGGAUGAUCAGUCACACUGGAACUGAGACACGGUCCAGACUCCUACGGUAGGCAGCAGUGGGGAAUAUUGGACAAUGGGCGAAAGCCUGAUCCAGCCAUGCCGCGUGUGUGAAGAAGGUCUUCGGAUUGUAAAGCACUUUAAGUUGGGAGGAAGGGCAGUAAGUUAAUACCUUGCUGUUUUGACGUUACCAACAGAAUAAGCACCGGCUAACUUCGUG
rnacentral:rRNA from 1 species